rnacentral:lncRNA from 1 species
UUGACCAGCUUUGCUUUGGAAGGCCAAGUCUCACGGGGAUGUCCACUCAUUCAUCGUGAUGGCACCAGUGACGACUCUCGAACUUAGGAGCAGAAAAAGAAGGAAUGGCCAUGUGACUUAUGUCCAUGGAAAACCUGUUCUUGAGCGUUUUUCCAGACUGUGAUUGGCUGUGGAUAACAAACUGCGGAAUGCGAAACUGUUGAUAAGGGUGGACUACUGUAACUCUGGACAAUUUCCUCAACUCUGCCCAAUAUCAAAGGAAGGCUCUUGUAAGCAUUUCUAUAAAUUGCAAAAGCAGGCUCCAAGCAUUGUCAGUGAUGUGCUACAAAGAGGAACAACUAAGCUGACACAGAUAUGAAGGCAGCAAUGACACUGAACUGCCAGAAUAGUGAUCCUCAAAGGUGGACAGGUGUCACACCUGAAUCCCUGGGGGUCAGGACCAAUCAACUUCCCCGCCUACCCCAACCGUGGCCACUCUUUCUAGUCAUAGUUUAUCUUAUGCCUCAGGGGCAGUAAUGGGGUUAAGAAAUGGUAGAAAGUAUGUACCCAAAUUCUCAAUCACAUUUGAUUGUUCACUAGAACUUUUUCUAAGAAGACUAAAUGGUGAGAACGGGGGGAUGGCCCUCCAGGAAAAUUCAGGUAGGUGUCAUAAUAUUUAAUGAAAGAGGCAUUUCCUUUUUUAAUCCUUUGUAGGGUCAGAAAAGAAAAAAAUUCAAGAUAUGCAAAGGAAGCCAGAUCAAAAUCCCCUUGGCCAUGGAUACUGGUGCCCUACAUCAGCACCCUUCAAGAGUGUGGAUGAGGCUGAGUAGGUGGGAACCUGCAUCCCUUGAAAGAAGCAGGCAAGGACAGGGUAGUGACAAGUGCUGGUCACUUGUGAGGGCUGCCUCCCCAUCCAGUUCCCUCUGCAGCCAGGAGCAGGAGUUGUUUCUGGCUCAAGCCAGCCCCCAUGGCCGCCAUUCCCUUAUAUGACCCUGCUUCGCAGGGUAACGUACCAGACAGUUUCACGCUCGUUAUCCUUGCAACGGAUUACUCGGUGAGGAGCAUCAGAGAACUGAAAAGACAGACUGACUUCGACUUGAAUCCUGGCUCUUCCUCUUACUAGUUUCAUGGCCUUGGAUGGAAAAAUGAGUUAUUCCACUGAAGCCAGGAAAAUCCAUGCUGGCACCCUAGCAGUCCAUCAGAAAGUCGUUAUUUCUCCACUGUCAGAGAUCCUGUCCUGAAUAUGCAGCCUAGCACAGCAUGUUAUGGAGCUGCCUCUGGGAUCAAGGGAAAGGAGAACUCAGUACCCUGAGGUGCACAAAAGGCACUGCACAAGAAGGCCCACAUUGACGUGCAGAAGGAAGUGAAGAGGAAGGAGUGAUACAUUCUGAAAUGGUUGAAGAGCCGAAAAAAGGCAAAGCAUUGAGGAAAGUGAGAACUGAGGAAAAGGGCACUGGAUUUGAUGACUCACUACUCUCCUUUAGUGAACUUUAAUAGAAGAGUUUCAGUAGAGUAAUAGAAACCAAAAUUGCAACCAGUUCAACGAGUAGGAGGCAAAGAAAUGCCAGUGAACAUAGAUUAUGCUUGAAAUGAAUGCAAGAGAUGAGACAGCUGACUUCAGAAAGCAGCGGAUUCAACAGAAGAUUGUUUAAUUGGCUGACAAUUUUUAUGAUAAGAAAGACCAGAAAAGGUCUAUAGGCUAAUGGGGGAGAGGAUAGUGGGAAAAGAUUGUAGAGGUUUGGGAGGUUUUUGUCCUCAGAUAGGAGGAAAGAGAGAAGGUACAUGGCACCUAAUACAUACUCAAUACGUAUUUGUUGAAUUAAAAAGGAUCUAGUUUGGAGGAUGCUAACUCUUAUGGGGAGUAAUAGUAUAAUAAUUAAGUCAAAUCUUAGCAAGAGGUGGUUCCUGGAAGAACUCAGGUCUCAUUUGAAGGGAUCCCAAGAUCCCUUGAGCCAGGCACUUCUCCCCAUGCAGGAAUAUAGAGCCAUUGAUACCAGAGAUUCUGAUGGCAAAAAGCUGGAUUUUUGUGGGAGAUUUCUUUAUUUUUAAACUUUGACAACUGUUUUAAACAACGUUAAUCCAACAAAAUAGCCAAUAUUCAGUCAAUUGGCAACCACUUGGUAACUUGUAUUUUAGCACAUAUUUCUCUAGAUCAUACUUGCUUGAAUGGCAUUUAACAGUUUUAUUGAUAUAUAAUUUACAAAUACAAUUCACCCAUUUAAAGUGUACAAUUCAACUGCUUUUAGAAAUUUCCAGAUAUGUGUAACCAUCACCACAGAGCAUUUAAAAAAUUUUCAUCACCUCAAAAAGAAACCUGGGGGUUCUUUAGCUAUCACUCCCCUAUUUCCUCACUCCCCCAACCCCAAGCAACCACUAACCUACGUUCUCUAUACAUUUGCUUAUUCUGUAUUUUAUUUGAAUGAAAUUGUGUAAAAUGUAGUCUUCUGUGACUGGCAUAUUUCACUUAGGGGAUAGGUUUUUUUUUGUUUUUGUUUUCAAGUAAAGAAGUGAGAAUGUGAAAAAUUUGGAGGGAUUUUAAUCUCAGUGAAAGGGAAGGCCAGGGGGUCUCAUCACAGGAGAAGAGGAGAGGAAAAGGGAGAGGGGAA